CCGGAAGGUGGAGCUCCCUAGAGAAGCAACGGAGGAAGCCCCGCCCCCUCUCCUUACCGGGAAAAGGAAGGGGAAGGCGUAACUAGGGCCGGCAUCCCUAGCAGCCGCGAAUACACUCCCUAAACGUGCCCAGGCCCGGACAUCCUGAAGAGGCAGAUGGUCCUGAAGGCUGUCCUGCAGAGUGCACCGGUUUCCAGUGGAUGUGAAGGAAGACACAUGGCCAUCGUGGGACUCAGUGCCUGCUGGUCGUGUAGCGCCGCAGUUUGUUGUCGAUGAACUCCAUCUUGAUCUUCACGCGGCCCCGAGUCUUCUUACCCGGCUUGGCCCCGCUCACCGCGCCACUCACCGGCCCAUAGCCUCCGGUGGCCGCCGCCGCCGCCUCGGGCCCACCGACGAGCUCCAUCUCGCUCAGGCUCCGCUUCAGGCCGCGCCGCUCCGCGCCCAGCUCCUCCUCCUCGCCCGACUCCGAGUCGCCCUCGCUGCCGCUGUAGAGGGCCCCCGCGGUGGGCGCCGGGGUGGUUGUCGCUGCUGCUGCAGCCUCCCGCUCGAGGCGGCCCGGCCCGAGCCCC